UACGUAGGCAGCGAGCGUUGUUCGGAGUUACUGGGCGUAAAGGGUGCGUAGGCGGCCGAUUAAGUUUGUCGUGAAAUCUCCCGGCUUAACUGGGAGGGUGCGGCGAAUACUGACCGGCUCGAGUGUGGGAGAGGAGAGUGGAAUUCCUGGUGUAGCGGUGAAAUGCGUAGAUAUCAGGAGGAACACCGGCGGUGUAGACGGCUCUCUGGACCAUAACUGACGCUGAGGCACGAAAGCGUGGGUAGCAAACAGGAUUAGAUACCCAGUAGUCC
rnacentral:rRNA from 1 species